UACGAAGGGGGCUAGCGUUGUUCGGAAUUACUGGGCGUAAAGCGUGCGCAGGCGGCUUCUCAAGUCAGGGGUGAAAGCCCAGAGCUCAACUCUGGAAUUGCCUUUGAGACUGAGUGGCUUGAGUACGAGAGAGGUGAGUGGAAUUCCCAGUGUAGAGGUGAAAUUCGUAGAUAUUGGGAAGAACACCGGUGGCGAAGGCGGCUCACUGGCUCGUAACUGACGCUGAGGAGCGAAAGCCAGGGGAGCAAACGGG
rnacentral:rRNA from 1 species